rnacentral:rRNA from 1 species
ACCUACGGGGCGCAGCAGUGAGGAAUAUUGGUCAAUGGGCGGGAGCCUGAACCAGCCAAGCCGCGUGAGGGAAGAAGGUACAGCGUAUCGUAAACCUCUUUUGUCAGGGAACAAAGGCGGGGACUAGUCCCCGGAUGAGGGUACCUGAAGAAAAAGCAUCGGCUAACUCCGUGCCAGCAGCCGCGGUAAUACGGAGGAUGCGAGCGUUAUCCGGAUUUAUUGGGUUUAAAGGGUGCGCAGGCGGCGAGUUAAGUCAGCGGUAAAAUUUCGGGGCUCAACCCCGACGAGCCGUUGAAACUGGCUUG